GGGGCGGAGGAGACCCCCGAGGGGCAGAGGAGACCCCCGAGGGAUAGAGGAGACCCCAAAGUUCUGGGGGAGACCCCCGAGGGGCAGAAAAGACCCCCGAGGGGUGGAGGAGACCCCCGAGGGGCGGAGGAGACCCCAAAGUUCCGGGGAAGACCCCCGAGGGAUAGAGGAGACCCCCGAGGGACGGAGGAGACCCCCGAGGGGCGGAGGAGACCCCAAAGUUCCGGGGGAGACCCCCGAGGGGUCGAGGAGACCCCCGAGGGGAGGGGGAGACCCCCGAGGGGCGGAGGAGACCCCCGAGGGGUGGGGGAGACCCCCGAGGGGCAGGGGAGACCCCGAGGGUCCGGGGCACUCACCCGAGUGGGUUUUGGCUGUUCCGGAGGAGUUUUUGGGGGGUUCGGUUCGGGUCCUUACGGACGGGACGGUCCCGGUUCGGGUCCCGGUUCGGGUCCCCUCCGGGCGGGUUCCGGUCCCUUGGCGCGGGACGGGGACGGUUCGGGACGGUUAGGUCUGUCCGGAGCGGUUCGGCUCCUCCCGGUUCGGUCUCUCCGGAGCGGUUCGGUCCCUCCUCCCGGUUCGGUUCCCUCAGGCGGGUUCGGGUUCCCUCAGGCGGGUUCGGGACAGUUCGGUCUGUCCGGAGCGGUUCGGCUCCUCCCGGUUCAGUUUCCUCAGGCGGGUUCGGGACCGUUCGGUCUCUCCGGAGCGGGUUCGGGACCGUUCAGUCUCUCCGGAGCGGUUCGGCUCCUCCCGGUUGGGCUCCCUCAGGCGGGUUCCGGUUCCCUCAGGCGGGUCCGAGUCCCCUCAGGCAAGUUCGGGACCUUCCGAACAGCUUCGGGUGCACGUUCGGGCCCCCCCGGUGGGGUUCGGGUCUCUCCGGGAGUGUUCGGGUCCCGCUUCGAGUCCAAGUUCGGCUGUUUCCGGAGCGGUUCGGCCCCUCCCGGUUCGGACCCUUCGGGCGCGUUCGGGUCUCUCCGCCGGGCGGUGCCCAGCGGGGCGUGGCCAGCGGGGAGUGACGUCAGGGGGUCCCGGAAUGACGUCACAGCAUCCCCACGAACUGGGGGGGGGGGGUCCCCAAAAGGGGGGGAGGGGCACCCACGUGUGUGGGUGGGGGAGGGGAGGGGGUGACACGAGGGACAAAGGGCGGCGCCCCCGCCCCUCCCCCCGCUCGGUUUUGGGCCGUUUUGGGCUGUUUUGGGAAGUUUUGGGCCGUUACCGGGGGAACGCGACCGCGGCCGCCCCAAAUAUUGCCGUGGUUGCCAUGGGAACGGGGUGGGGGGGGUAGGAGCGGGUGGGGGAGGGGCUCAGGGCGCGGGGGGGGCGCGGGGACCCCCCAAAUUCAGCGGGGGGGGGGGUGGGGAGGGGUCCCUCGCGGCUCAGCACCUGUGGGAGGAGGGGGCUCAGGGGGGCACCCAUGGCACCGGGACCCCCACCCAUAGGGCUGGGACCCCACCCAUGGCACCGGGACCCCCACCCAUAGGGCUGGGACCCCACCCAUAGAUUUUGGACCCCCACCCAUGGCCCUGGGACACCCACCCACAUCCCAGGACCCCCCCACG
ensembl:lncRNA